AAGCAACACUCUGUGGCAGAUGAACAAUAAAUACUGUCUGACACAAUUUGAGCUUGCUAUAGCAAGAAAGUCUUACCUAUUCCAGUGUUCUCUUCCUCAUGAGACAAGCCGUUAUAUAGGCUCAAACAAU